CUUGCUCACUCCAAGACACACUAGAAGCAGUGUAGACAAGAUCUCCCUCCUCCUCCCGGGCGUGCAGGAACUGCCUUGCCCUUUCCGGGGAUGCGACCUCAUGCCUGGCGCGAGCCUGGGAUGGUUCGAGUCCCUGAACAGAGAAGAGGCUGGAACUGGGAAGACAGAUAAUGAUGCCGCUCUGACCCAGGUGUGGUGGUACGUGACUGCAACCCCCCACUCAGCAGGCUGAAGCAGGAUCACGAGUGCAGCCUGAACUGUACAGCAAGACCCUACUUUAAAAAAAGAAAACAAACAAACAAACUGUGAUAUCUCUCUCCAAGAAUGUCCAGAUCCUAGAUCUACACUUUGUA
rnacentral:lncRNA from 1 species